rnacentral:rRNA from 1 species
CCUACGGGAGGCAGCAGUGGGGAAUAUUGGACAAUGGGCGAAAGCCUGAUCCAGCCAUGCCGCGUGUGUGAAGAAGGUCUUCGGAUUGUAAAGCACUUUAAGUUGGGAGGAAUGGCAGUAAGUUAAUACCUUGCUGUUUUGACGUUACCAACAGAAUAAGCACCGGCUAACUUCGUGCCAGCAGCCGCGGUAAU